rnacentral:lncRNA from 1 species
CCUCCCAUUCCCCUAGGCAAACAGCUACCUAUCCUUCAAGUCUCAGCUCAAAUCCACUUCCUCUGUGAAGCCUUCCCUCCUUCCCUCUCUGGUCUCUUAGCACAGUUCCAUUCUUUGUGCUUCCAAAGCAUUCGGUCCAUUCCACUAUCAGGACUUAUCAUGCUAUAUUUUAAUUAGCUCUUUGUAUUUCUAUGCUAUUUCUUCACUAGAUUCCUUCAGAGACUGUGUAUGAUUUGAUUCGGUCCUGUACUCCUAGUGCCCAGGACAGAGCCUGGCACAGAAAUGAUAAAAUGAGAGGGUGACAUAAGGGAAAGUCUCCCUGUUUGUGCCCCAUGGAGAUUACAGCAAUUCCAUAUGAAAACUGUUGGGGACAGCCUUUUAAAACAGCUUUAACAGCAGCCCCAGGUGUGAGCCACUGAGAUUCUCCAGAGUUUCUCAAUAGCAGAGCGCUCCGACUCCCUUCCUAUAGGGAUCAAUCAGCUGGAAAGGAACAGACAGGCACUUUCUUCAGAGGAGAGGUUACUGUUGAUCAAGGAAGAAAUUUAUACCUUUGGUGACUUGGCUGGUAAAAGGGCAGACAACAUUUAUUAAUCAACACCAUCUGGUAGAUUCUAGCAGGUGAUGGUUUGUCAUUCAAAGUCCUGAGCCAGCACCUGCCACACAAUUAAAAGCAGGAAAACAGGAAAGAAAAGAAGGAAUCGGAUACACUGAGCAUCAACUUCUCUGUGCCAGGAACCACGGUAGGCAUUUUCUCACACAUUACAUUUUACUAUUCAUUUGUUUAAUCCUAAAACAGAUAUAAUCAACCCCACUUUCGGGGAGUGAACAUAAGUUUAACGAGUUUAAGCUGUUGGCUUAGAAGUUAAGCACUUGUAAGUGAAGCUGAGAUUGCAACCCAAGUUGAGAACUAUUUUCCGCUAUUCCAAAGAUGGCCACUAAAAUUGCUACGUUUCUAGUGCCCGAGGCCAAGGCAUCAUCAUCAAAAUAGCUACCAAUUUUUGCUCAUUUAUGAUGUGUCAAGUAUUAUGCUAAGUGUCACUCCCUCUCUCAGAUAAACCUAACAACUAAUCGCUAUUAUUCUGAUAAGAAAUGGGCAUACUAUGGUUCGAAGAGGCAAAUUUGCUGGUUCACAGUUCAAUAACUAGUAAGUAAUGGAGCCAGGACUCCAAACCAGUUUGACUCAUGUUUCUGGCUUCAGGCUUCUUCCAACAUAGGUCAUUUAAACUCUCACUCUAGUUCCAUUUUGCUAGUCACUUUUAUUUUUCCUGAACCCUAAAGCCUUUAUUGGCGAUUCCUCAGGUAUCUAGAACUAGAAAUACCAUUUGACCCAGCCAUCUCAUUACUGGGUAUACACUCAAAGGAUUAUAAAUCAUGCUGCUAUAAAAACACAUGCACAUGUAUGUUUAUUGUGGCCCUAUUCACAAUAGCAAAGACUUGAAACCAACCCAAAUGUCCAACAAUGAUAGACUUGAUUAAGAAAAUGUGGCACAUAUACACCAUGGAAUACUAUGCAGCCAUAAAAAAGGAUGAGUUCAUGUCCUUUGUAGAUACAUGGAUGAAACUGGAAAUCAUCAUUCUCAGCAAACUAUCGCAAGGACAAAAAACCAAACACCACAUGUUCUCACUGAUAGGUGGGAACUGAACAGCGAGAACACAUGGACAGAGGAAGGGGAACAUCACACUCCGGGGACUGUUGUGGGGUGGGGGGAGGCAGGAGGGAUAGCAUUAGGAGAUAUACCUAAUGCUAAAUGACAAGUUAAUGGGUACAGUACACCAACAUGGCACAUGUAUACAUAUGUAACAAACCUGCACAUUGUGCACAUGUACCCUAAAACUUAAAGUAUAAUAAUAAAAAAUAAAAAAUAAAAAAUAAAAAAUAUUGGCCAGGUGCAGUGUCUCACACCUGUAAUCCCAGCACUUUCAGAGGCCAAGAUGCGAAGAUCACUGGAGACCAGGAAUUUGAGACCAGCCUGGGCAACACAGCCAGACCCUGUCUCCACAAAAAAUAAAAAUUAAAUUAGCUGGGCAUGUUGGCAUUCACCCGAAGUCCCAGCUACACAGGAGGGUGAGGCAGUAGGAUCCCUUGAGCCCAGGAAUUUGAGGCUGCAGUGAGUUAUGAGCAUGCCACCGCACUCCAGUCUAGGCAACACUGUGAAACUCUGUCCCAAAAAAUAUGUAUGUACAUAUAUACAUAGGCACUAUCUGACCCAGUAAUCUCACUCCUCAGGAUCUAUCCUAGGGAUUUCAAGAGAAAAUAUCCUUAUGUCAAAAGAUGUUCAUUGUGGUAUUAUUUAAAUAGCCAAAAUGUCCAACAAAGGAGAUUAUUAAGUAAAUCAUGUGAAAUCUAUUCAGUGAAAGGGUAUGCAUCAUAAUUCAACAUGAUCGUUCUGGAGCCUACACCAUGAGAUGGUGCCUAUGACAGACUAAGUGAUCAAAGACAGAACAGUAUUUAGCCUCUGAUUAGACCAGGAGCCCAGGGGCAUCAGGACUGAACGAUAGUACAGAAAAUCAGUAAGAGUUACUUUGCUAGGGUAGUGGAAUUAUAGCUACCAUUUUCUAGUUUUUCUAGGUUUCCUUUAUUGAUCCAUUAAUGUUUGUUAAAAUUUUAUUAAAAUAUACAAACAUUUGCAUUUCAAUUCUUUCUUCAGUGUUAACACUGGGAUUUCACCUUCUGGAUCCUGGUGUCCCUAUCAGCAGCAGCCACCAGAGAACUAACCACUGGUACUCUUUUGAGUCCUCUACUCUAAUGACUGCCUGGCCCAGGAUCUCAGGCAGACAAUUCAAUUAACCUUCAUGGCAAUGAUCACUCAGACCCAGACCCCAAUCCUACCUGAUUGCAACAAGGCUACAUAUCUGGAUGUGACUCUCAGGAGGGAUUAAAUUAAAAGACACUGAAUAUUUAAGUUUAAGUAUAAUUGAAAUUUAAUAAGUCUACCAAAUUCAGAGAGGAUUUUUAAAUGCUAAUACCCAAUGCUAAAUACAGUACAGUCAUAAAAAAGAUCACCUAGAGAAACCUGAUAUAAUCUUUCUGUAGAACAAUUUGAAUAUAUCUGUACAACAGUCCUUAAAAUAUUCAUACUCUUUGGCCCAGUUAUUAUACCUCUAUCAGGAACAAUCAGUGAGGUGGGCAUGGUGGUAUGUGCCUAUAAUCCCAGCUACUCAAGAAACUGAGGUGGGAGGAUCACUUGAGCCCAGGAGUUCAGGAAUAGCCCAGGAAACAGAGUGAGACCCUGUCUCAAAAAAAACAACAAAGAAUCAGUGGAUAAAUAUUUAUGUACAAGGAUGUUUGCUGCAGAAGUCAUAAGGCAAAAAAACAGUAAAAUAAUCUAAAUGCCGUUCAAAAAAGAACUAGUUAAAUAAACUGUAAUACAUCCAAGUGAUGAAAUAUUAUGCUGGCACAAAAAAAAUUGUUUUUGAAGAACAUUCAUGACAUGGCAACAAACCAGAGAGAGAACAUUAAACUUAAAAAAACACGAUACAAAACUGUAUUUUCAACUCGAUAACAACUCUGUGUGUGUGUGUGUGUGUGUGAGAGAGAGAGAGAGAGAGAGAGAGAGGAGAAUAAAAGGACUGAAAUGCCAAAUAGAUCAAAUGAAGCUGGUCAUUUCUAGGUACUGAGAUAAUAAGUGAAAUAUUUUCUUAAGUCUUCUGUACUGAAUAUCACCCUACAACCAGACACAGCCACAUAGCCCCAAAAGCACUGUCCACUGUGUCAGAAGGGCAGGGCGGUACUCACACGGAUGGUGCAGUCUCCUUUGCUCUUCUCUCGAUGGGCUUCCUCCAGGUCCUUCUCCAGUCUCUCCCUCUCCUGCUGCAAGUCACUCAGCUCCUGGGUGAUCUUCUUAAUGCUUCUACGCAGUCUGUGGUUCUCUGUACUCUUGGUGAGGUUUUGUGAGCGCAGCGCAGCCGAAAGGGCUUUCUUUCCUGAUAGAGCAGUCUCAUAGUCUUCAGACCCCUAGAAGAGAAGGCAGAGAAGCAAGAUGAGCUAAUUUUCAUACCUCAUGAAACAAACCAAGAAACCUGGGCUCUUUUUCGCCAUGGGGGAAAAAAAGAAAAGAAAAAGAUUAACAUAGACAACAUUCAGAAACCAAAGCAAAAAUAAUAGGAAGAUUUUGGAAUAACAUAAGAUAAUGUUUCUUAUGAUGUGGAUGGUUGUACGAAAGAAGUAUUUUCUUAAAGGACCAGAAAAAAAGCACAAAUUCUCAGCUGGGCACAGUGGCUCACACCUGUAAUCCCAGCACUUUGGGAGGCUGAGGCAGAUGGAUCAUGAGGUCAGGAGUUCAAGACUAGCCUGGCCAACACGGUGAAACCCCGUCUCUGCUAAAAAUACAAAAAUUAGCCAGGCGUGGAGGUGGGUGCCUGUAGUCCCAGCUACUCGGGAAGGCUGAGGCAGAGAACUGCAUGAACCCGGAGGCGGAGG